rnacentral:rRNA from 1 species
UACGUAGGGUGCAAGCGUUGUCCGGAAUUAUUGGGCGUAAAGAGCUCGUAGGUGGUCUGUUGCGUCCGCUGUGAAAACCCAGGGCUUAACCCUGGGCUGGCAGUGGAUACGGGCAGACUAGAGGUAGGUAGGGGAGAAUGGAAUUCCCGGUGUAGCGGUGAAAUGCGCAGAUAUCGGGAGGAACACCGGUGGCGAAGGCGGUUCUCUGGGCCUUACCUGACACUGAGGAGCGAAAGCGUGGGGAGCGAACAGG